AUUGAACGCUGGCGGCAUGCUUUACACAUGCAAGUCGAACGGUAACAGGUUAAGCUGACGAGUGGCGAACGGGUGAGUAAUGCAUCGGAACGUGCCCGAUCGUGGGGGAUAACGUAGCGAAAGUUACGCUAAUACCGCAUACGAUCUGAGGAUGAAAGCGGGGGACCGUAAGGCCUCGCGCGAUCGGAGCGGCCGAUGUCAGAUUAGGUAGUUGGUGGGGUAAAGGCCCACCAAGCCGACGAUCUGUAGCUGGUCUGAGAGGACGACCAGCCACACUGGGACUGAGACACGGCCCAGACUCCUACGGGAGGCAGCAGUGGGGAAUUUUGGACAAUGGGCGCAAGCCUGAUCCAGCAAUGCCGCGUGCAGGAAGAAGGCCUUCGGGUUGUAAACUGCUUUUGUACGGAGCGAAAAGGCUCUCUCUAAUACAGGGGGCUCAUGACGGUACCGUAAGAAUAAGCACCGGCUAACUACGUGCCAGCCGCCGCAGUAAUAC
rnacentral:rRNA from 1 species